rnacentral:rRNA from 7 species
UUAAAUUGAAGAGUUUGAUCAUGGCUCAGAUUGAACGCUGGCGGCAGGCCUAACACAUGCAAGUCGAACGGUAACAGGAAGCAGCUUGCUGCUUCGCUGACGAGUGGCGGACGGGUGAGUAAUGUCUGGGAAACUGCCUGAUGGAGG